AUUGAACGCUGGCGGCAGGCCUAACACAUGCAAGUCGAGCGGGGUUUUCGGACCUAGCGGCGGACGGGUGAGUAAUGCGUAGGAAGCUGCCCGAUAGAGGGGGAUACCAGUUGGAAACGACUGUUAAUACCGCAUAAUGUCUACGGACCAAAGUGUGGGACCUUCGGGCCACAUGCUAUCGGAUGCGCCCACGUGGGAUUAGCUAGCUGGUGAGGUAAUGGCUCACCAAGGCGACGAUCUCUAGCUGGUUUGAGAGGAUGAUCAGCCACACUGAAACUGAGACACGGUCCAGACUCCUACGGGAGGCAGCAGUGGGGACUAUUGGACAAUGGGCGCAAGCCUGAUCCAGCCAUGCCGCGUGUGUGAAGAAGGCCUUCGGGUUGUAAAGCACUUUCAGCGAGGAGGAAGGGUGGUGUGUUAAUAGCACAUCAUUUUGACGUUACUCGCAGAAGAAGCACCGGCUAACUCUGUGCCAGCCGCCGCGGUAAUAC
rnacentral:rRNA from 1 species